rnacentral:rRNA from 1 species
AUUGAACGCUGGCGGCAUGCUUUACACAUGCAAGUCGAACGAGUGGCGAACGGGUGAAUAAUAUAUUGGAACGUACCUAGUAAUGGGGGAUAACCAAUCGAAAGAUUGGCUAAUACCGCAAAUUCUUCGAGCGGCCAAUAUCGGAUUAGCUAGUUGGUGGGGUAACGGCCUACCAAGGCGACGAUCAGUAGCGGGUCUGAGAGGAUGAUCCGCCACACUGGGACUGAGACACGGCCCAGACUCCUACGGGAGGCAGCAGUGGGGAAUUUUGGACAAUGGGCGCAAGCCUGAUCCAGCCAUGCCGCGUGUCUGAAGAAGGCCUUCGGGUUGUAAAGGACUGUUGUUAGGGAAGCGGUACCUAAAGAAAAAGCACCGGCUAACUACGUGCCAGCAGCCGCGGUAAUAC